rnacentral:snoRNA from 1 species
AUGCCAUGGUGAGGGCAAUCGACACAAAGCAUCUUGAAUCUAUCCCAAGCUUGAUAGAAAUUCUCGUCCUUGUCUUGUUGAAAGCUUGCUAUCCUUUGUCUUCCUCU